UCCAAAGCUGACAUGGCAGGAUUUUGUACUUACCUCUUUUUUAGUUCGCUUAUAGAAAUCUGUAAUGACAUGUAUGAGGUACGUGAAGAAAUCUAGGAAGCAAUUCAGAGUGAUACUGCAAGAUGAAACUCCCACAUUUUUAAGAUGUAACAACAGAUUUUUUUCAACCUGACUCUCCGAAGAUGAACAACAUAAAAAAUGAUGAAAAUCUUCCUUUAAGCGUUCUACUCCCAGUCUGACAAUACUUUGAAAGACCAGAUUGUUUUGUGCUACAGAUCUUCUUAAGUCUGGGGUGCAGCUGAAUCCACCACUCUCAGUCUGUUUUCAGUCCAGCUUUGAUCUGUAUUCUGUAUUGAUUGAGGAAACUGCAGGAAAAAGCUAUCUCAUACAGGAUGUAAUAAAGGAAGGAAUGCUGCUCUCUUUAUUACCUGUUGUACAGGUGAAGAUGAGGGCGAGAUAUGACUCAUCUGUUUGCUUUUCUCUGUAUUAGUAGUUGUGACAUCUGGAUUCAUUGUCAGCCUGUGUUUACCUGCAGUCCUCUAAAAAAAUGUCCAUGUUUGAUGGCAGUGCACAACAUUGUGGAAUUAUUUUAUUUAUCCUUGCCUCCACCCAGAGGCGCUGCUUGUUAACAGGCAAGGCAGGCAACUGCUUGGGGCCCCAGGCCAUUAGGGGGCCCCUGAGGGCUGACAAACUUUAAACCACAGCAGUGGCUCAGAAUGUGCAAAUUUAGCAAUGACUGUAGGAAACCGAUUAAAGAGAGCCCCAUCUGACAAACCUCAGAUCAGCGUGCUGCUUACACCGAACUUCCACCAGAUAGGUGUGCAUUGCGUGUCCGCUCCAGUCCGUUUCGGCUGCGUGCACCCUCGUCCGUCAACACCAUAGACUGUGGGAACAGCUAAAGUGCGCUCCCACUGGUCAACACCCACCGGCUGCGUUCUCCCUCCGCAGCACGGAGAGCACAGCCGUCAGCUGGAGUGCCGAGGCAAAGGAAUUGCCGCGAUAAUUAAACAAACUAACUUGCGACAGUGCGAGAUAAUACGAUGUAUGUGGUAUAAAACUCUAUAUAAACCUUAUAAACACAUAAACAAACACACAA